GGGCCCGCACAAGCGGUGGAGCAUGUGGUUUAAUUCGAUGAUACGCGAGGAACCUUACCAGGGCUUAAAUGUAGUGGGACAGGUCUAGAGAUAGACCCUUCUUCGGACUCAUUACAAGGUGCUGCAUGGUUGUCGUCAGCUCGUGCCGUGAGGUGUCAGGUUAAGUCCUAUAACGAGCGCAACCCCUAUCGUUAGUUGCCAGCGGGUAAUGCCGGGAACUCUAGCGAAACUGCCGGUGCAAACCGAGAGGAAGGUGGGGAUGACGUUAAAUCAUCACGGCCCUUACGUCCUGGCUACACACGUGCUACAAUGGGUAGAACAAUAAGUUGCUAAGUUGCGAAACCAAGCG
rnacentral:rRNA from 1 species